rnacentral:rRNA from 1 species
AUUGAACGCUGGCGGCGUGCUUAACACAUGCAAGUCGAGCGGUAACAGGUGUAGCAAUACAUGCUGACGAGCGGCGAACGGGUGAGUAAUGCUUCGGAAUCUUCCUCGUAGUGGGGAAUAACCUGGGGAAACUCAGGCUAAUACCGCAUACGAACUACGGUUGAAAGCAGGGGAUCGCAAGACCUUGCGCUAUGAGAUGAGCCGAAGUCGGAUUAGCUAGUUGGUGAGGUAAAGGCUCACCAAGGCGACGAUCCGUAGCUGGUCUGAGAGGACGACCAGCCACACUGGGACUGAGACACGGCCCAGACUCCUACGGGAGGCAGCAGUGGGGAAUCUUGCGCAAUGGGGGCAACCCUGACGCAGCCAUGCCGCGUGAACGAUGAAGGCCUUAGGGUUGUAAAGUUCUUUUACCCGUGACGAUGAUGACGGUAACGGGGAUAAGCUCCGGCUAACUUCGUGCCAGCAGCCGCGGUAAU